rnacentral:rRNA from 1 species
GACGAACGCUGGCGGCGUGCCUAACACAUGCAAGUCGAGCGAUGAAAUCCCUUCGGGGAUGGAUUAGCGGCGGACGGGUGAGUAACACGUGGGUAACCUGCCUCAAAGAGGGGGAUAGCCUCCCGAAAGGGAGAUUAAUACCGCAUAACAUUAGUUUUUCGCAUGGGAAACUAAUUAAAGGAGUAAUCCGCUUUGAGAUGGACCCGCGGCGCAUUAGCUAGUUGGUGAGGUAACGGCUCACCAAGGCGACGAUGCGUAGCCGACCUGAGAGGGUGAUCGGCCACAUUGGAACUGAGACACGGUCCAGACUCCUACGGGAGGCAGCAGUGGGGAAUAUUGCACAAUGGGCGAAAGCCUGAUGCAGCAACGCCGCGUGAGUGAUGAAGGCCUUCGGGUUGUAAAGCUCUGUCUUUGGGGACGAUAAUGACGGUACCCAAGGAGGAAGCCACGGCUAACUACGUGCCAGCAGCCGCCGUAA